CCCUUAGAUGUCCGGGGCCGCACGCGCGCUACACUGAAGGAAUCAGCGUGGCUUUCUCCCUGACCCGAAAGGGUUGGGAAACCCGUUGAAUCUCCUUCGUGAUAGGGAUUGGGGCUUGAAAUUGUUCCCCAUGAACGAGGAAUUCCCAGUAAGCGCGAGUCAUAAGCUCGCGUUGAUUACGUCCCUGCCCUUUGUACACACCGCCCGUCGCUACUACCGAUUGAACGGUUUAGUGAGGGCCUCGGAUUGGUCUCGGCCCGCUCUUUACCGGGCGGCGCCGUUGGUCGAGAAGACGCUCGAACUUGAUCGUUUAGAGGAAGUAAAAGUCGUGACA
rnacentral:rRNA from 1 species